UUUGAAUUGUAUGGAAUCUUGUCUGAUCCGGAGUGUAUUUAACACAGGAAUUGGAAAUUAAUCACUUACUUAAGUGACGUUCUAAAAGACAAACGUCAUCAUCGUGACUACUCAGGAAUACAAAACGUAACCUUUGCAUUUUGAGACACCAAUUAUUCUAAUAGAAGCAGGUUGGAUCUAGAGAUAGCGUCGGAACAAUAGAGUACAAGACAUCCAUUCUAAUUGAAAGUAACGUGAAAAACGGAUAAACCAAAUUGUAUUAGAGAUCCAAGGUCGUUCUGGGAUAGAUAAAACUAUACAAAGUGAAGUGGAACGUAUAGUUAGAAGCCUGGCAGGUAAUAUUAAUCCGACAUCGUGGGAUGACGCUACAAAUACUUUGACUCCUGAGAAUUAAUGGAAAACACACAAUUGCAGUACUUUAAAGAUGGCAUUUAAUGUGACUGUUAACACUGGAUUCGACGAGACAAUUCCUGUCGACAAAAACGCCAUUUUGAGGGCACCCGUGCUGCCUUCUGUAGAAACGAUGAGUUUCAAUUCUACAAUGGGAGUUUCAUUUGAUGAAGUGUCAAACACGAGUGCAAGUGUGUAUACAGAUGUCAUAGAAAUACCCGAAGUGCGAUACAUAAUGUUAGCGUUCCACGCUACUGGAAUAUUAGUCGCUGCUUUGGGGAACGCCAUUGUUUUAUUAAUCAUCUACCGGAAGCGUAGUUUUAGACACAACAAUGCUGCCAUCUAUUUCAUAAUGAAUCUAGCCCUCUGUGAUCUUACCCUGGCACUCAUACAUCAUCCGAUGCGGAUAAUGGACAUGUACUUGGCAUUUGCUAGUGAGAGAAAAACACCCCCGGCUGGAUUAUUCUUCCAUAAUCGAAUCUUCUGCCAGCUAACGGAUUUUUUCUCGAUAUUUACGUGUGCUGUUGGUUUCCACACAAUCGUUGCGAUCAGCCAAGAGAGGUUACUCCUUAUAUGCUAUCCUCUGAAAGCUAAAAUCCUAUGUAGCGUCACCAAUACAAAAAAGGUGAUGAUCUUGAUUUGGAUGACGUCAUUCGCCAUGACAAUCCCCAUACCAAUAUUGUACAGCAACGCAGUAACCAUUCCCUUCAAGGAUGUCAACGUAUCUCUAUGCGUUUGUCUCCAAGAAGAUUCCAACUCAAAUCCAGGGGAUCUAAUUUAUUUCGUGUUGUUAUUUAUAAUAUAUUAUACGUUACCUUUGGUAGUAAUCACCAUAAGUUAUAUCAAGAUAUUCCGUGCUUUGUAUCACACAACUGAAGCUUUAGGUCCGAUAGAUGGCGAGGAAGGAUGCCACAAAACGUUAAAAACUCGACAUUCAUUGGCUAAGAUGAUGCUAACGGUGGCUGUUGCAUUUGCCGUGUGCUGGGGACCAACGUUUGGGACAUUUUUGUUCAUGACACUCGGAGGUUCAAUCAAGAAACAUGGAAUAUUUCUUAUCAACUUUGUUGAGUUGCUACCUCUUUUAAACUCGGCGUUACAUCCAUUUAUCUAUACUCUAAACUCUCGCGCCAUGAGGCGUGGUUUCAAGACGUUCAUUUGUUUCAGAAGACGAUAUAGUUUUGAUGAUCAUAGCAUGACAUCUGGUGGAGGAACAACGUACAUGUAUAGAGGGAGUAACCAGUUCUCUAGUUUUGUACAUAGACAAGCCUCAACUACAUUUUCAAACGGAAGUGCGUCAUCAUCGUUGCUAUCUCCGCGAAGACGAUCCAUGGGAUACUCGCUGAAGGAGUACGACAAUGGAAACAAAGCAUCGAUGAGAACAUCGAACACUUACAACAUAAGACGAUCUUCAACUCCAGCAGUUGUAGUGUUUGCAUCUAAUGGCAGGAAACAAAACGGGGCAACUGACCAUCUUUAGACAAAGUAGAGAAAUUGAUAAUCUAACGUCUACACAGGCGCAAUUAACGUACACAAGUGAAAAGAUCCGGAGUAUACACCGGGUACAUGUAGCUCCGCCAACUAUAUUAAACUAGGCAUUAACGUUACGUUGUUAAUCACGACAUAUGUGCACAUAAGGGGACAUUACGAAAAUCUUUUGAUUGGUCCAUCAGAAUAAAUUGAUUGAGAGAUAAACCAUUAAUGAGUGCAUCGAAAAACAGACAAUUGCAAGCGUUUGAAAGAUGAGCGCUAAUAUGCAAGUGUAAGUUGGAAAUGCACAUUACACAAUUGCAAAAUGUGACUGGUUGUGAAUUUCUUUGUUGAAAUUAAAUUGCUGAAAAAUGUUUUGCAAUGUGUAAUUAUAUAAUGUAUUAACGCACAUGCUUCAACCAAAUGUAUGUAAACCACAUACUUGUAUUGUAUGUUAUCUCCUUGAUUUCAUAUUCUAUAAACACCUGGGCUCGCAAAAUGAACAUUGAUUAAUACUGAUUACAGUAGGUGACAUUUAUAAUUUAGCGUAUAUUAUUAUUCCAGAGUCCCGAAUAAAACAGAAGACGGGUUUUUCAUGUUUCAUCUUAUUAUCGCCC
rnacentral:misc_RNA from 1 species